rnacentral:rRNA from 1 species
GCUCCCUGAGAUUAGCGGCGGACGGGUGAGUAACACGUGGGCAACCUGCCUAUAAGACUGGGAUAACUUCGGGAAACCGGAGCUAAUACCGGAUACGUUCUUUUCUCGCAUGAGAGAAGAUGGAAAGACGGUUUACGCUGUCACUUAUAGAUGGGCCCGCGGCGCAUUAGCUAGUUGGUGAGGUAAUGGCUCACCAAGGCGACGAUGCGUAGCCGACCUGAGAGGGUGAUCGGCCACACUGGGACUGAGACACGGCCCAGACUCCUACGGGAGGCAGCAGUAGGGAAUCUUCCGCAAUGGACGAAAGUCUGACGGAGCAACGCCGCGUGAACGAAGAAGGCCUUCGGGUCGUAAAGUUCUGUUGUUAGGGAAGAACAAGUACCAGAGUAACUGCUGGUACCUUGACGGUACCUAACCAGAAAGCCACGGCUAACUACGUGCCAGCAGCCGCGGUAAUACGUAGGUGGCAAGCGUUGUCCGGAAUUAUUGGGCGUAAAGCGCGCGCAGGUGGUUCCUUAAGUCUGAUGUGAAAGCCCACGGCUCAACCGUGGAGGGUCAUUGGAAACUGGGGAACUUGAGUGCAGAAGAGGAAAGUGGAAUUCCAAGUGUAGCGGUGAAAU